GACGAACGCUGGCGGCGUGCCUAAUACAUGCAAGUCGAACGAAGCUGUUUUAACUGGUGCUUGCACCGACUUAAACAACUGAGUGGCGAACGGGUGAGUAACACGUGGGUAACCUGCCCCAAAGCGGGGGAUAACAUUUGGAAACAGAUGCUAAUACCGCACAACCACCGAAACCACAUGGUUUCUGUGUCAAAGAUGGUUUCGGCUAUCACUUUGGGAUGGACCCGCGGCGGAUUAGCUAGUUGGUAAGGUAAUGGCUUACCAAGGCAAUGAUACGUGGCCGAACUGAGAGGUUUAUCGGCCACAUUGGGACUGAGACACGGCCCAAACUCCUACGGGAGGCAGCAGUAGGGAAUCUUCCACAAUGGACGAAAGUCUGAUGGAGCAACGCCGCGUGAGUGAAGAAGGUCUUCGUAUCGUAAAACUCUGUUGUCAGAGAAGAACGUGUGCGAGAGUAACUGCUCGUGCAGUGACGGUAUCUGGCCAGAAAGCCACGGCUAACUACGUGCCAGCCGCCGCGGUAA
rnacentral:rRNA from 1 species